AUUGAACGCUGGCGGCAGGCCUAACACAUGCAAGUCGAACGAGUGGCGGACGGGAGAGUAAUGUCUGGGCACCUGCCUGAUGGAGGGGGAUAACUACUGGAAACGUUAGCUAAUACCGCAUACCAUCGGAUGUGCCCAGAUGGGAUUAGCUAAUUGGUGGGGUAACGGCGCACCAAGGCGACGAUCCCUAGCUGGUCUGAGAGGAUGACCAGCACCACUGGAACUGAGACACGGUCCAGACUCCUACGGGAGGCAGCAGUGGGGAAUAUUGCACAAUGGGCGCAAGCCUGAUGCAGCCAUGCCGCGUGUAUGAAGAAGGCCUUCGGGUUGUAAAGUACUUUCAGCGGGGAGGCGUUACCCGCAGAAGAAGCAACGGCUAACUCCGUGCCAGCAGCCGCGGUAAUUC
rnacentral:rRNA from 1 species